UAAAAAACUCAAAUGUAUAAAAACAGCAUGCGUAAGUACCCAAUGAAGCUUUUUCAGCAAGCAUACAGCGGAGCUAAUUUACAAAACACAAUUACGAGCUAAUUUGCUUUCCGAGUCAAGCCUAUUUUUAGAACCGUUAUAUACUGCAGAAUGUGCUACUUGAUAGUGCUUCCUCUCAUUUUGAUGGUCGUAAAUACGUCGCUGUCACAAGCUUGAAAUGAAUUCCAGACACGUGACUUCCUGUUAUCAACCACACAUGUUGGGAGGUUCCUUUCACCGGGGAAGAAAAUCAGUGCAGCAAACAACACAGAAAAAUAGGUUGUUUGCUUACAUGACAGUAAAUGUAAAACGUGAAACCAAUCCAAAUUAGGAAAAUAUUUCGGAUGAAGAUAUUUCCAUGCGUACAAUCUCUGACUGGUUGGUAAAUGCUGUUUUGAUACCAGUUAUUAAAAAAAUGACACACUGUCAUUUUAAACGAACAAUCACAGAAUGGAAAACAAUGUUUCUAUGGCAUAUUUUUGAAAAUAAGGGUGAAACACUUGAUGAGCUACAGUUUGUGUAGCAUUUAGGGGGCAUGGGUGGCCCAGUCAUCUUAGGCGCCACAAUUUGCUGUGCAGAGUUUCGUCCCUUGGCGACGCCAGAAACCUAUGAUUGUGGGUUCGAAUCCCGGUUCGCCCAGAUUAUGUUUCUAGGUUUGUCAUCACCAUUCAAAAGUCCAGUAUUACUAGACACAACGAAAUGACUUUUGUUUUAUUAUUUUAUUUUAGAUAUUUAUUUUAGAUAUCAGUGAGUAAAUAUAUCAGAUAAAUCACCUCCUGAAGAAAAUACUGCAGUUGGCGUGGUCCGAGUUGCUUAGCAGAACAUUUUCAAACAUGGUGGUAUUUUUUUCAAUUAUAUGUCAGUGCCUGCAAUCCAAAUAACACAACAUUAAUAGAUACAUGGAGUAUUGAAUCUUCCUCAGGUGCAUAAUCCACAUGGAAUUGGGGUCGUGACAUCCAUGAUCAAUGGUCCACUGUCAACUGAUCAGUGUCAGAUGUCAUGUUUUGGGUAAACAGAGAACACCUUUGUCAAUUGGUCACCAGUGUUCGCAGUAAUUGACUGUUCCAUGUCAUGUAUUUAGUGUCACAGAGGUACUCAACCUAAGGUUGUCUCAACAAAGUGAAGUAUUGUCCAGCUCUUGUUCAUGUUGGAUAUGACUUGAGACUGUGACUUGAGACUGUGACCACAACAAUGCGCAAUGCAUUUGUUAGACGUCCUGUUUGUCUUACCUACUAAUUAAUGAGCUGCUCCAAACUGGGGGCAGAGUAAGCUACUCCAUCUUGUUAAGUGAUACAGAUUAACCAAAUUAUGAUUGUGUUAAUGAGUUGUGUUUGAUCUGUGUCGGAUUGCGUUUGUUUUUGAGUAGUUUUUUCAGUGAUAUAGACUAUAUUCGUCAGUUAUUUAUACCCUCUCUUAACGUGAGGGUUUGACCCAAUGUCUACCCUCGUUGACCACCGCUUGCCCAGGUGAAUGGCGCUGUCAAUAUGAAAUGAGUUAUUAUGUGGGUCACCAUGGGAGUAUCCCGUUUUAUGUAUGUUUUGUUCAUUGUAAGUGACUGUCACAGGAUACAUAUUUUAUUCCAUCCCAAGAAACCUGAAUGGUGACGAAGAAGUUUUUGAAUAGGCUAUCAACCGACUUGGCUUCGGACACAGAAUUCUAAAGUAUCCAGUAGGCAUUUCGUCAAGGGGCGCUAGAGUGAAAACAGCUUCAUUUUAGAACCAAGAACUGACAAGAUCCGUGAACAAGUGUAGCCCCAGAUCAAGCGUGGUAUGUCAACUUGACCUUCUAGUUGGCGAUCUGCCAAGGGAAAUGUGCCACUGUAGUGAGGACUUGCUUAAAGAUGUCUCGCACCACUGCCAUCCACCUACAGAUCCGACUCGUGUCCAGGUCGUCAGUACUUUGAGGAACCGGGCCAGGGAAGAAGCAGCACCUGUCCAGGCUGUCUACACCUGAUCAGUUCGACGCACCGUUGAGGCAUGCUGUCGAUCAGAUGUUGGAAGAACGGUUGUGGAAAACCUGCCGCUCUACCCGAAGGAACUGGGCCAAUUCUUGAAGGGAAUCAGCUUGUCUAUGAUUGUCUCUCACUCGUCUGCCCAAGUCAUCCCAUGCAUGCUUAAUCGGUGCCAAAUCAGGCGAGUAUGCAGGCCAAUCCAUUCGUUCAAUCCAUGUCAUUUUGGUUGAGAAAAGUAUUCACAAGCCUGGCACAAUGGGUCUAGCAUUGUCAUCUUGAAUAAUCGAACCAACUCCAAUGUGGCAAAGAGUGGGAACAUCAAGAUGUCUCUGUAUCUGAUACCGGUCAAAUUUCCUUGGACGACAUAAAGAGUAGUCCUGUGGUGCAUAAACAUUCCUCCCCAAACCAUCACUGAACCGUAGCUAAAACGAUCACGCUGUCUCGUAAAUCUCUCCAGGUCGUAGGUAGACACAAAUUCUGCCAUCAUUCAAUUGUAAAGCAAACCUGGAUUCAUCCGUGAAGAGUACCUUGCCACUGACGACAUGCCCAGGCUCUGUGACAUGUGCACCAGACCCUGAAUGCUGUCCUAUGACCUUGAAGAAGAGUUGGUUGAAUUGCUUGCCGCCGCGAUCAAUUGUUGUUUGCUCCCAAACAAUUCCGUAUGGUCUGGUCUGACACCUGAAAACCAGUUACAUGUCGCAGUUCAUCUCUCAGAUGUCUAGCUGUGAUAGGUCGUUGACGUUAUGCCAUGUAUUGGAUACACCAGUCAUCAUGCUGUGAUGUUGAUCUUGGCCUACCUGAGUGGGGAUGAUUCUGAAUGGAAUUGGUGGCUCGCUGCCAUAGUCUACCAAUCACACUUUGGCUUCAUUCCUCUCUGAAUAACCAUCCUGCAGCCAUGCAGUGUCUCUUCCUAUAUCAACAUUGCUUAGUUAUGUCUGACCAUGAUGAAAUUACAAGUGGGAACAACACGAGCAUUGUAGCAAUUUGUAUGCCCCAAAUAUCCACGGAAAACACAGAUUGCAGGUGCAUUAACAUCAGAAACUCACGAUGAUCGGGCAACAAUGCAUUUGGCCAAUGCAAACAGUUUUGUUGACCCUUGUUUUUCAGCUUGAAUUGAUGAUUUGUCAAAGGAUUCUCACAGUCGUUGUGGUUGCCUAGUGCAUAUGAUUUGUGCACAAUGCUAAGCAUUAGGACACAUUAAACCCAUUUCAACUGCAUUUGCAAUUAGAAAUUUCUAUUUCCUAUGUUUUCUAUGUCAAAUUACCGGCAGUGCUGGAAUAUAUGUUUGGCCCUUAACUUGUUUUGAGUAGUAUACUUCAACGUGUGAUAUAACACAUGUUCAGUGUAUAUUUUGUAUAUAGUGUCUUUCUAAUGAUGUGAUUAUAAUUAAUAUCAUAUUUUAAAUAAUAUGAUAACAUUUCUGCUGUAUAAGUGUUAAGUUAAAUAUAUCCUGUAAAUAAUUCAAAAUAUGUGAUUUCUGUUGAAUACUUCAAACUGUGUGAUUUCUUGUAUGAUUUGAUGAUUAAAAAUGCAUAAUAAACCUAUCCUGUAAAUUCCUCAAAAUGUGUGUUUUCGGGUCUGUUCCACAUUAAUGAAAGGUAAACAGGUAAUUAUUGCUCGACUAACCAACCUUGACUAAUCCUGGUAUAAGCUGUCUGACAAUUGGGAGGUUACUGUUUGCUACAGCAUAAAGUUCUGAUCCUCCGAGCAUCUUAAUAAGCUGCUGUACUGUGUUUCCCAGAUAUUUUCUUUGUGUCUCAUCGCAUAUUGUGUCACAAUAUAUAUUCUGAGGGAUUGAUGGGCUCUUGUUGAAGUUCCGAUCCUCCAUGCAUCAAAUAUCUGAAACCGCAUUGUUACUCAACCAAGGAGUGUAGCUUUCCAUGGUAGAGUAAGGAUGUGACAGGGUUUAGUGAUAUGGUCACUCAUUCAGCUUAGUCUCAUCCAGAUAUAAUCCAGUGAUGGUUAGCAAUGAUGCAAGCUGCAGACCAUGCCUUCAACUGUGGGAUAACCAUUGCGCAAUAUGUUGUGUCUGGAUACAAAUUGUUUACAUGACAAUACUUAGAUAAUAUAGAUAUAAUUAUCCUGGUGCAAGUCUCAGUCCUGCCUGUCCAUCAUCCCCCAUACAGCUACAUACUGAUGAGGAGGCGGUAGGGGAUCAAAGGUAAUGCUGACUGAUAACCAAUGGCAGCAGGCGCCCAGAUGUAGAAGAGACAUGUUUUGGAUUUCUGAGUUAUAUGCUCGUGAACACCUUGAGAAUACAGUACCACAACUUCUCGUUAGAACGAUCUCUGCUCUGCAUCUGUUAGUCCAACAGCUAGCUGACCGAGCUACAUCAACACUGUUAAACUUACUGCAGAUUUACCUAGUCAUGCCUCAGACGUUAUGGAACUGAACAGAAAGGGUGGAAUAGAUGAGGGACACUUACAAAGGUUACAGGUAGGCAUGGUGUCUUGUGACUUUAGUCUGCAGACACUCAGGAUUGGCAUACUCGUCCCAUUCCGUAAUCUCUAAGAUACAGAGUGGUGAGGAAUGAGCUGUAAUGGUGCGAAAACUCCAGGCAUCAGAUGUUGAGAUCACGAGUAUGCAUGAAUGACAGGGUUUUGAUAAUUCAUUUGUUGAUUUUGUCACUGAAGAGUGUUGGAGGUAGCACUGUAAGGACAACGUGAAUCAUAGUAAGGAACAAGGAAGGCAUAGGCAUGGCUCCUGACUCCACAAAGGUGAUUCAGCUUUUGAAUCAUAACUCACUAAGUGUUGUGAGUGAAAGUGGCGUGCAUGGAAAUUCCAUGACAGUGUCCAGAACAUUUGACAUGAAACUACUUCAUCCUUCUUAGUUGAUGUUAUAGUGAGAAGAAUAAGUGCAACUGAAAUGUGAAACGAUAUAUAAAAUAAACAAGAAUACCCUGACAAAUGCAUUUACUUGCAUGCUUAGUGUCUUCGGCUACCAUGCUUGAAAAUGCAUUAGAAGUGGGUACAACCCCCUUAGACCCCCUACCCAGCUGGUAAAGACUUGUAUCAAUCCUUGUCAAUAGAGAGUGUACAGACCGGCCACGUUCAGAUAUGUGCAACGUCAAUAAAUAAAUACCUAAUAAACAACAUUCCUGUUCAUAAUAAUGAAAACUGCUGAAUCGACAUAAAAAUAUGUGUAUUAGUUCCCAUUUGUAAUCCAUUUAUCCAUACCAUCAAGUUGAAGCAAACAAACAUGUUGAAAAGAAAUGCUUUCAUAACCUGGUUCCUGCUAUAAAAUGCGCCGCAGCAGGCUAUGUUUAGUAAACAAAUAGUGAAAACUCUCAACAUCGCCGGGCAUGUUCAGUGAUAUUGUGUGUAGAGAUGAUGGAUAACUGAGAGGAGCUUAUACACACUUGAUGACCCCUGACAUCACAGUAGGGCUGGGACGAGUCCAAAUUUACUACCCGGGUGCCCAUCCCCCUGUUGCCAGACUCUACCUGGAUACCCGCUGUAAGCCUCAAGACUUAGGUACAAACUGUCCGACUGGGAAAAGUUUGACCGUAUUCCUGGAAAAAUGUGUUUAGAUACACAUUUAAAACGAUCUGGUGUAUACACUGAAGUUGACUGAAGGUUUAUUUUAUUUAAAAAUAAAAAUGUCAGCAGGAAUGGGUGUUGUAGUUAGAAAGAACUGCGAACAUUGGUGACUUGUAGUAUGACCAUGGAGUUUUAGAUCAUUUUUGUCAUUAUACAAUAUAUCACGUGACUAACCACGGGUCCAGGUAGUCCUGUGGGUAACCGGGCCCUAUUCAGUACCUACCCGACCCGAGUACCCGAGGUACCCAUCCCAGCCCUACAUCACAGGGCAUCGUUUCGCUAGUGUGUCUGGAAACAAAAUAAAAUAUUACAUCAUAGGGUAUUGUGACAUGUUUGGAAAAUUUGUGUUACUGUAUUCUAAAUGUAGGCCUAUGAUCAAAGUGAAAAAUGAAAUUGCAAUAUGUUUUGUCAGGAUAAGUAUACUAUAUCAUGAAGUCUCUGAUAGGCAUUAAGAAGUUGGGAGAACAUGAAUACAUUACACUUUUUAUAUUGAUAGCAUUAUAAAGAAUAAAAGAAGUUGCUAUCCGUAAAAAAGUGUCAUGUAUUUACAUUGAAUAUGAAUAUCCAAAUUCAUCUUAUUUUG
rnacentral:lncRNA from 1 species